CACUAGUCUGUCUUCAGGUUGCAAAAGCUGUAAUAACAAGCUACUAAAAAUAAUACAGAGCUUGAUUUAUACCCACCAAAGCAAAGAAAUUCAGAGCUACCCUGACAGUAUUGUCCUUUGCCAUCCCCAGCCAUUUAAAAUACUGCAGUAAAAAGGAUUAUUAGGUUGUGGACUGGGAGUUUUACAGCCACGAGGGAGGCUGGGCUCAAUCCCCAGCGAAUCCUUACUGUGAACUCAUAAUUGUGCUGCAGGAGGGCACCGAGUACAUUCUGUCCUGGUCAAAUUAAAGGUGGUAAUUCAACAUUUCCCUGCCACAUCAGCAGGCCUCUUGCAGCCAGUGGUUAACUGCUGACUUCAGUCAGAAAUGUGUUGGCAGUGAGGUGACCUGGCACUCCAAAAGUCCUGCUAGACCUGUGCUCACAGAAAAAUCUCCAGUUUGCUCUCUGCAGCUUCUGUCCUGCAGUUCUCCAACACAUAAACCAAGGCAUUUUGGAGCUUUUAGGAAUCAGUGA
rnacentral:lncRNA from 1 species